AGUAGCAGCAGAGAACUUGAAAAACUAAAAAAAAA
rnacentral:sRNA from 1 species